rnacentral:rRNA from 1 species
UACGUAGGGUGCAAGCGUUAAUCGGAAUUACUGGGCGUAAAGCGUGCGCAGGCGGUGAUGUAAGACAGUUGUGAAAUCCCCGGGCUCAACCUGGGAACUGCAUCUGUGACUGCAUCGCUGGAGUGCGGCAGAGGGGGAUGGAAUUCCGCGUGUAGCAGUGAAAUGCGUAGAUAUGCGGAGGAACACCGAUGGCGAAGGCAAUCCCCUGGGCCUGCACUGACGCUCAUGCACGAAAGCCAGGGGAGCAAACGGG